AUGGAGACCAAUAGGGCUCCUGGGCCAGACAAUAUACCUGCAGAGUUUUACCAACACUGUUGGGGCAUUAUCAAAAAAUGAUAUCAUGCAACUGUUUGUGCGCACGCGGGGGCGCUUGAUGUUCAACGCCUCAGCUAUUGGAUUAUAACCCCGUUACCCAAAGUAUCAGGGACGGAUCGUAUUCAGCAAUUUCUCUCAAUAUGUCUCCUUAGAUGCCCAUAUAAGCUCAUCACAAUGGUUUUGGACUGUAGAGUAGAGAAAUAUGCUGAUAAACUCAUCAACCCUACUCAAAAUGCCUUUGUCAAAAGCAGAAAUGUUAUGGAUGGUAUUAUGUCACUUCAUGAACUUCUCAACUAUAUCCAUGUUAAGAAACAUGUGGGUGUUGUACUUAAGCUCGACUUCGAGAAAACAUAUGAUAAGGUUGGGAGUUCUUGUUGGAGUGUCAUAGACUUCGAGGAUUUAAUAACACUUGGUGUGAUUGUAUUAGGCAAAUCUUAUACAAUGGCACGGUGA
rnacentral:rRNA from 1 species